AUUGCUGACGAGUCCCAAAUAGGACGAAACGCGCGUCCUGGAU
rfam:Schistosoma mansoni strain Puerto Rico chromosome 2, complete genome